CAUGCGUGGACCCGGUGCGACGAGAGGUGGAGGCUUCUUUCUCUGAUUUGCAACGGAAGUGAGUAAGGCAAAAGACUGGAAAUUACAGGUCGAUUAGCCUGACCUCCGUUAUUGGUAAGGUUUUGGAGUCCAUUGUGAAAGGAAGUAGAAGGGGAGGAUUCGCUGUUGGGAAACUUCAGGAUCUGACAGUAUUGUCCAAUUUAUCAUAACCACAUGGAGGGGAAAUUUGCUGUUCACAAUGAAGAGAAACCGUACACAUGUUGUGUGUGUGGACGGGGUUUCAGCCAAGCAUCCGGGUUAUCGAAACAUAAAUGGAGCCACAAAAGGGAGAAACCAUGGAAGUGCGGGGACUGUGGCAAGGGGUUCAGAUUCCCAUCUGAGCUGGAAACUCACCGGCGCAGUUACACCGGGGAGACCCCGUUCACCUGCUCUGUGUGCGGAAAGGGAUUCACUCAGUCAUCCCACCUCCGGAGACACCAACGAGUUCACACAGGGGAGAGGCCAUUCAUCUGCCCUGACUGUGGAAACGGAUUCACUAAUUCCUCCAAUCUGCUGGUACACCGGAGAGUUCACACUGGGGAGAGGCCAUUCACUUGCUCCGAGUGUGGGAAGGGGUUCACUCUCUCAUCCAGCCUGUCGACACACCAGCGGAUUCACACUAGGCAGAAACUGGAGAGUGACCGUUCACGUGCUUCAAGUGUGAAAGGAGAUUCAGUCAAUCAUCCCAACUGACAAAACACCACCAAUUUCACUUCUAACUGCAGUAAUGGGAUAUUGCUGUCAGUCACUUCCAUGCUCAUUGGGGUCUGUUUCUACUUAUGUUAAUAAACUCCAGGCCAGGGGUAAUAUUCUGCAGAUCGUGCGGGGGGUGCGCUAGGGGUAGGGGUAGGGGUAGGGAUAGGUAGUGGUAGGGGUAAUGUGACUAGACUAAUAACCAGAGCACCAGACUAAUGUUCUGAGGACAUGGAUUCAAAGCCCAUCAUAGCAAUUGGGUGAAAUUUGAAUUCACAAAAUAUUUGGAUUCAAAGCUAGCUAGCUUAACAUGUAACCAUCAAUCAUUGUAACAACCCAUUUAAUUAGGGUAGAAAAUCUGCCAUCCUUAUCUGGUCUAAUACACAUGACUCCACACCCACAGUAAUGUGAUUCACUCUGACUCUGUCUUGUAACUGCUCGCUGAAAUGGCCUGACAAGCCAGUUAGCUAUAUCAAACCACUGCAAAGGAUAUAAAAAGGAAUCGAACUGGACUGACCAACCAGUCUUGACCUAGACAGCAGAAAAGACAAGGGCAAAGGUAGCACUGCAAGGUUCAAUAAAGAAUGCAAGAGGGCAUACCUUAAAAUGGAGUACCAAUUUGGCAACACUACAGUAUACAACCACUAGAAUACCAAACAGCAAAAGAAGUAUUCAGUAGAUGGAACUGAGUGAUUCCACAACUAACUGAUCAUACCUAAGCUUUCUAAACCUGCCAUUUCCAGUCAUGAAUGGUGGUGGAUAAUUAAAGAACUAUUAGGAGGUGGAGGCUCCACAAAUAUUGCCACCCUGACAUGUGGAUAAGCCAGCAUAUCAAUGCAACAGACAAGGCAUUUGUAACAAUCUUCAGCCAGAAGUGCCUUGUGGUUGAUCCAUCUCUGCCGCCUCUAAGCUCCCCAACAUUGGUCUUCAGCCAAUGCAACUUGGUCCCAGUGAUAUCAAGGAAUAGAGGCCCACCAAAUUAGAGUCAGUGGGCAUUGGGGGAAAACUCUCCACUGGUUACAGUCAGACUUAACACAAAGGAAGAUAGUUUUGGUUGUUGGAGGUCAGUCACCUCAACUCCAGGACACCUUUACAGGAGCUCCUCAGGGUACUGUCCUAGGCCCAACCAUCUUCAGCUGCUUCAUCAAUGACCUUGCCUCCAUCAUAAUGUCGUAAGUGGGGAUGUUAGACAGUGAUUGUGCAAUGUUCACUGAUAUUCUCAACUCCUCAGACACUGAAGGAUUCUGCCGAUAAGCGGCAAGAUCUGGACAGUAUCCACAUUUGGGCUGACAAAUGGCAAAUGAUAUUUGUGCCACACAAAUGCCAAGCAAUGACCACAUCCAGCUUAAGAGCAUCUAACUAUCACCCCUUGACAUUCAGUUGCAUUACCAAUGCUGAAUUCCUCCACUAUCAACAGCCUGGGCAUUAUUAUUGACCAAAAUGAACUAGAUACACUAUAUCUUGCUGCAAGAGGAGGUUAGUGGCUAGGAGUUCUGCAGCGGAUAGCUUGCCUCCCGUUUCCACAAAGCCUGUCUGCUUUCUACAAGGCACAAGCAAGGAGUGUGAUGGAAUAGCCCUCACUUGUCUUGAGUGUCACUGGAGCUGUGCUCAUCAAGAAGCUUGAUACAUCCAGAACAAAGCAGCUACUUCAUUAGCACCUUAUCCACCACCUUCAAACUACAGUCCAUUCAGUAUCAGUGGACUAUGGCAGCAGUGUGCAUCACCUACAGGAUGAACUGCAGUAAGUUACCACUUUGACAAGCCCUUCCAAAUGUGAAGCCUGUGUACCUAGAAGGACAAGGGUGUCAGAUUCAAGGGGACACUACCAGCUGUAAUUUCCCCUCCAAGUCCUUCACCAUUCUGAUUUGGAACAAUAUCUCCAUUCCGAUGCUGUUGCUGGGUCAAAAUCUUGGAACUCCCCGCCGAAUAAUAAAUUGGAUGACCCUACACCUCAAGGAUGGCAAUGUUUCAAGAGGCAAUUAGGGAUGGACAAUUCAUGCUAGUCUCACCACAUGCUUUGAAUGAAUUAAUAAGUAUUAAAAUAAAUCGACUUUGUUAAAUGCA